AUACGGAGGGUGCAAGCGUUAAUCGGAAUUACUGGGCGUAAAGAGUACGUAGGUGGUUUGUUAAGUCAGAUGUGAAAGCCCCGGGCUCAACCUGGGAACUGCAUUUGAAACUGGCAAACUAGAGUAUGGUAGGGGGGGGUAGAAUUUCUAGUGUAGCGGUGAAAUGCGUAGAUAUUAGAAGGAAUACCAGUGGCGAAGGCGGCCCCCUGGACCAAUACUGACACUGAGGUACGAAAGCGUGGGUAGCGAACAGGAUUAGAAACCCUAGUAGUCC
rnacentral:rRNA from 1 species